UACGUAGGGCGCAAGCGUUAUCCGGAAUUAUUGGGCGUAAAGAGCUCGUAGGCGGUUUGUCGCGUCUGCCGUGAAAGUCCGGGCUCAACUCCGGAUCUGCGGUGGGUACGGGCAGACUAGAGUGCGGUAGGGGAGAUUGGAAUCCUGGUGUAGCGGUGGAAUGCGCAGAUAUCAGGAGGAACACCGAUGGCGAAGGCAGAUCUCUGGCCGUACUGA
rnacentral:rRNA from 1 species